GGGGAAUUAGCUCAGUGGUAGAGCGCUUGCCUAGCAAGCACAAGGCCCUGGGUUCGGUCCCCAGCUCCG
rfam:Rattus norvegicus chromosome 5, whole genome shotgun sequence.